UUGAUCUAAACACGAACCUGACGCGACAUGAUUAUAAUCCUACAUAUUGGUAUUUCAUUAUUAAAAAAUUAAAAGAGUAAUUAGAGAAAUUGAAAGACUAAUUAAGUAAUUAUCAAAGCAAUUGCGUAAUUAGAAAGAGUAUUUAGAGAGUAUGUGUAGAGAGAGAAGGAGAGAGAGUAGAAGGUGUGGAAUGGAUACAUACCUUUAUCCAUAAUACCCUCCAAUGGGUAUAAUAGACCUCCAACGGCUCGAAACUAGCUCCAACGGUCAAGUUAAGCGUUUUUAAAGAAUCAAUGGAUUACAUACAUCGGGUUGGGAGAACAGCUCGUGCUGGAAGAAAAACAAGGAGUCGGGGCAGAAGAGAGGAAGAGAGAUGGAUGAUGAUGAAGAGGAGGAGAUUCGGAGAUACUUGAACAAGCCCAACAAAAGUCGCAGCAAAAAUGGCAAGAAAAGUAGCAAACCAUUCAAGAAAUUUAGAAGAUGAACUUCGCUUGAUUGGUUCGACCGGCUUUUUGUUAGAAUCAUCCGAUGCACAUAGCCCACAGAUAUCAAAUUAUAAUUUGAUAGCCCAAUUCAAUUUAAUUAAAUUUUAUGUAGGUAUUUAUUCAACUUUUAAUAAUUCAGUCAUUUUAAAUGUUUUAUUUCUA